GUUGAUCCUGCCAAGUAUUAUAUGCUGAUGUUAAAGAUUAAGCCAUGCAUGUGUAAGUUUAAAGACCAAGUAGGAUGAAACUGCGGACGGCUCAUUAUAACAGUAAUAGUUUAUUUGAUGAAAUGUACUACUUGGAUAACCGUAGUAAUUCUAGAGCUAAUACAUGAUCGUCUCCUCGACUUUGAAGAGGUGUAUUUAUUAGAAUGAAAACCAAUAGACUUUGUCUGUUUGUGAGUAAUAAUAACUUGUCAUAUCGCAUGCUUUUGUAGCGAUGUGUCUUUUAAGUUUCUGCCCUAUCAGCUUUCGAUGGUAGUGUAUUGGACUACCAUGGCAGUAACGGGUAACGAAGAAUUUGGGUUCGAUUUCGGAGAGGGAGCCUGAGAGAUGGCUACCUCAUCCAAGGAAGGCAGCAGGCGCGUAAAUUACCCAAUCCUGACACAGGGAGGUAGUGACAAUAAAUCACAAUGCGGAACAUUUGUUUUGCAAUUGGAUUGAGAACAACGCACAACACUUAUCGAUAAACAAUUGGAGGGCAAGUCUGGUGCCAGCAGCCGCGGUAAUUCCAGCUCCAAUAG
rnacentral:rRNA from 1 species